AUUCAUUCACAAAAUGGUAACACAAUUCAUAAUUAACUUCAAAUUUUCACAAAUCACAUUAAAUCAAUUUUUCCACAGUUUCAAACCAUUUACAAUGCUUUUCAAGCAAUAAGUAUCCAUUCAAACACAUUUCCAUAAUUGAAAACAAUAAUAUACAAAUAGUCAUAAUUUAUUUCAAUUGAAAAUAAUUCAAAAGAAAUAG
rnacentral:misc_RNA from 1 species